rnacentral:rRNA from 1 species
AACGAACGCUGGCGGCAUGCCUAACACAUGCAAGUCGAACGAGACCUUCGGGUCUAGUGGCGCACGGGUGCGUAACGCGUGGGAACCUGCCCUUAGGUUCGGAAUAACUCCCCGAAAGGGGUGCUAAUACCGGCUAAUGUCUUCGGACCAAAGAUUUAUCGCCUUUGGAUGGGCCCGCGUUGGAUCAGCUAGUUGGUAGGGUAAAAGCCUACCAAGGCGACGAUCCAUAGCUGGUCUGAGAGGAUGAUCAGCCACACUGGGGCUGAGACACGGCCCAGACUCCUGCGGGAGGCAGCAGUGGGGAAUAUUGGACAGUGGGCGAAGGCCUGAUCCAGCAAUGCCGCGUGAGUGAUGAAGGCCUUAGGGUUGUAAAGCUCUUUUACCCGGGAUGAUAAUGACAUUACCGGGAGAAUAAGCUCCGGCUAACUCCGUG